GGAUUUGCGAAGGCAAAGAUCUCCAUUGGAUUUGCGAAGGCAACGAUCUAGUGGCGGCGAUCUCCGUCGGCGUUACCACGGUGGUUCUCCGGCGUGCCCUGUUUAGGUUUCCCCCCUUUCUCAGGGAGGUUGGUUAAGAGAGCAUAUGAUGCAUUGUUGUUGGACGCUGGUGGCACUCUUUUGCAAUUGGUGAAACCUGUCGAAGAGACUUACGCAUCAAUCGGCA